rnacentral:rRNA from 1 species
UCGGGAAUUUUGGGCAAUGGGCGAAAGCCUGACCCAGCAACGCCGCGUGAAGGAUGAAGUAUUUCGGUAUGUAAACUUCGAAAGAAUAGGAAGAAUAAAUGACGGUACUAUUUAUAAGGUCCGGCUAACUUCGUGCCAGCAGCCGCGGUAAUACGAAGGGGGCUAGCGUUGUUCGGAUUUACUGGGCGUAAAGCGCGUGUAGGCGGGUCGUUAAGUUGGGGGUGAAAUCCCGAGGCUCAACCUCGGAACUGCCUCCAAAACUGGCGACCUGGAGCAAGAUAGAGGCGAGUGGAAUUCCGAGUGUAGAGGUGAAAUUCGUAGAUAUUCGGAGGAACACCAGUGGCGAAGGCGACUCGCUGGAUCUUUGCUGACGCUGAGACGCGAAAGCGUGGGGAGCAAACAGGAUUAGAUACCCCUAGUAGUCCCUGAGCGGGCUGGCAAGGCGCAU